GACGAACGCUGGCGGCGUGCUUAACACAUGCAAGUCGAACGAUGAACCCGGAGCUUGCUCCGGUGGAUUAGUGGCGAACGGGUGAGUAACACGUGAGUAACCUGCCCUUGACUCUGGGAUAACUGCGGGAAACUGUAGCUAAUACCGGAUACGACCCUCGGCGGCAUCGCCAGGGGGUGGAAAGAAUUUCGGUCAAGGAUGGACUCGCGGCCUAUCCGCUAGUUGGUGAGGUAACGGCGCACCAAGGCGACGACGGGUAGCCGGCCUGAGAGGGCGGCGGGCCAGACCGGGACUGAGACACGGUCCAGACUCCUAUGGGAGGCGGCAGUGGGGAAGAUUGCAGGGUGGGAGGAAGCCUGAUGCAGCACCGGCGGGUGAGGGAAGACGGCGUUCGGGUUGGAAACCUCUUUUAGGAGGGAAGGAGCGAGGGUGGCGGAACCUGCAGAAAAAGCACCGAAUCAGUACGUGCCAGCAACCGCCGUAA
rnacentral:rRNA from 1 species